rnacentral:tRNA from 5 species
GCCCUGGUAGCCCAACUGGUAGAGGCGGUCGGCUCAAACCCGGCUUGUUAAGGGUUCGAAUCCCUUCCGGGGUACUA